CACACUAUCAUUAACUGAAUCCAUAGGUUAAUGAGGCGAACCGGGGGAACUGAAACAUCUAAGUACCCCGAGGAAAAGAAAUCAACCGAGAUUCCCCCAGUAGCGGCGAGCGAACGGGGAGCAGCCCAGAGCCUGAAUCAGUGUGUGUGUUAGUGGAAGCGUCUGGAAAGGCGCGCGAUACAGGGUGACAGCCCCGUACACAAAAAUGCACAUGCUGUGAGCUCGAUGAGUAGGGCGGGACACGUGGUAUCCUGUCUGAAUAUGGGGGGACCAUCCUCCAAGGCUAAAUACUCCUGACUGACCGAUAGUGAACCAGUACCGUGAGGGAAAGGCGAAAAGAACCCCGGCGAGGGGAGUGAAAAAGAACCUGAAACCGUGUACGUACAAGCAGUGGGAGCACGCUUAGGCGUGUGACUGCGUACCUUUUGUAUAAUGGGUCAGCGACUUAUAUUCUGUAGCAAGGUUAACCGAAUAGGGGAGCCGAAGGGAAACCGAGUCUUAACUGGGCGUUAAGUUGCAGGGUAUAGACCCGAAACCCGGUGAUCUAGCCAUGGGCAGGUUGAAGGUUGGGUAACACUAACUGGAGGACCGAACCGACUAAUGUUGAAAAAUUAGCGGAUGACUUGUGGCUGGGGGUGAAAGGCCAAUCAAACCGGGAGAUAGCUGGUUCUCCCCGAAAGCUAUUUAGGUAGCGCCUCGUGAAUUCAUCUCCGGGGGUAGAGCACUGUUUCGGCAAGGGGGUCAUCCCGACUUACCAACCCGAUGCAAACUGCGAAUACCGGAGAAUGUUAUCACGGGAGACACACGGCGGGUGCUAACGUC
rnacentral:rRNA from 2 species